rnacentral:lncRNA from 1 species
UCUGUCUGUGCUGUUCUCCUGCUGUACGGUUGUACAGAGAAGCCUGGAGAAUUAAAUCCUUGAGGACCUGGGGAGUUAACCACUGAGUGGAAAGAAUAACAUAACUUUAUUCUGUGGCAACUUCUCCACCUGGUUUUGAUUCUUCUUCUUAAUGGACACAUCAGGCCUCAGUGAUGUCUUGUUUGGUGAUUUAUUUUUAAAACAACAGAUUAUUUUACCUAUAUUUACUGAGAUCAUUAACUUUGCUUUCAGAGAAACUGCAUACACUUUUUUUAAUUUCUCAAGCAAGCACCUAAUUUGUAUUAGUGCUAAAAUUGUAGACGGAAAACCUGUUGCUAUCAUGAUCACUUGUUCUGGAGAAGUGUGGAGUCUUGUGUAAAACUUUGGAUUCUGUACACAUUAAAAUGUGCAAGAUAAAGAAAAAAAAAGACAUCAAAAUAGACUUAAGUCAUUUUUUUGUUGCAACAUUGUCUAAAAUGUCUUUCCUUGAACAUUUGUACUUGCUGUUAUUCUAGUUUGUUUUAGGAAGUUGAUGUUUGCUUUUAGCUUUUAACUGUUUCGAAAUUGAAGAAGACAUGACAACUCAUGUUCAUAAACAUACACACAUCAUGCAGGAAUAGUGGGCACAGGUGUUGAUGACAAAUCAGUUGGUGAGGAAGGGCAGUCCCUAUAGCAUAUUUAUCAUUCUGUGACCACAAGAGGACAAAUGAUACUUUUGGAAAUCUUUGUACAUAUCAUGGGACACUAGUCCACAAAUCCUGGCUGCCACAGUAAGCUGUUAAUCCUUACAUUGCUGUAAAACUCUCAAGGAGUCUUGUCGAACCUAAAAUCCGCCAAGUUGUGCCUGGCAUAAAUUUCAUGCACUUCAGCUCAUUUCCUCAGAUCUGUCUGGCUUCUAAUGCAUCUGAAAAAGUGGUCCGGAUCCGCCAAUCGCUUGUUCCUUAGUUUUUAAGGUCCCAACUGAUUCUCUGGCCAAAAUCCUGCUGCGUUGUUACGCCUGCAGAAGACAAACUGUAACCUUGUAGUGGCUUCU